rnacentral:rRNA from 1 species
UACGUAGGGUGCGAGCGUUGUCCGGAAUUAUUGGGCGUAAAGAGCUCGUAGGCGGUGUGUCACGUCGGCCGUGAAAACCUGCAGCUUAACUGUGGGCGUGCGGUCGAUACGGGCAUCACUGGAGUUCGGCAGGGGAGACUGGAAUUCCUGGUGUAGCGGUGAAAUGCGCAGAUAUCAGGAGGAACACCAAUGGCGAAGGCAGCUCUCUGGGACGGUACUGACGCUGAGACGCGAAAGCGUGGGGAGCGAACAGG